CACUUCUUCAACCCUCCUUCCGCCAUUUUCCCUCGCUCCUUCCCUCUCUCUAUCUCUCUCUCUCUCUCAGUAUCACAGACCACCAUUUCCGCUGAGAGAACAACCGAAACCCUUCUCCACUUCAUCUUCUCUCUCUCUCUCUCUCUCUCUCUCUCUCCUCCGAAACCUCAACAAAAUCCAACCCCACUCAUGCGAAACCCAAAUAACCCAUACUAAUUUGACCGAAAUGACCCUCUCAUCCCGCCUAAUUUCCAUCCCCAACCCUCCCUCUCUUUCCCCAACCAUCCUCCCGCCCCAAAACCCCAACCACUCCUUCUCCUUCCCUUCCAAAACCCACGAACGGAGAAGACUCCUCGAGCUCGGUUCGAUGAAAGCCAAGGCCAAGGCGAGGAUGAAACAGCUCGUCUUCAACAGCAACGCGGUCGUGGUCGAGGAGGGAAAGUACAGCUACGAGGUCGAAACCCUAAUCAACAAGAUCUCCAGCCUCCCGCCGCGGGGGAGCAUCGCGCGGUGCCUUGAGGUUUUCAAGAACAAGCUGAGCCAAAACGAUUUCGCCCUCGUGUUCAAGGAAUUUGCUGCCCGUGGUGACUGGCAGCGGUCUCUCCGCCUCUUCAAGUAUAUACAGCGCCAUAUGUGGUGCAAACCUAAUGAGCACAUAUAUACCAUUAUUAUCGGAUUGCUUGGACGCGAGGGCUUGCUAGAGAAAUGCCGUGAGGUGUUCGAAGAAAUGCCCAAACAGGGGGUUCCCCGUAGUGUCUUCUCAUUCACCUCCAUAAUCAAUGCAUAUGGCAGAAAUGGCCAAUUCGAGACUUCGUUAGAGCUUCUGGAGAGGAUGAAGAAGGAGAGAGUUUCGCCGAGCAUUUUGACUUACAAUACAGUGAUCAAUGCUUGUGCUAGAGGCGGAUAUGAUUGGGAGGGCUUAUUGGGUCUGUUUGCCGAAAUGCGACACGAAGGUAUACAACCUGAUCUUGUGACUUAUAAUACAUUGCUUAGUGCUUGUGCGAGUAGGGGUUUAGGUGAUGAGGCAGAGAUGGUCUUUAGGACUAUGAACGAGGGUGGUGUUUUGCCUGAUAUUACCACAUAUAGUUAUUUGGUUGAGACAUUUGCGAAAUUGGGUAGGCUAGAGAAGGUUUCUGAGCUUCUAAGGGAGAUGGAGAUCGGGGGGAAUUUGCCAGAGGCAUCUUCUUAUAAUGUCUUAUUAGAGGCUUAUGCACAUUCGGCUUCAAUUAAAGAGGCAAUGGGUGUUUUUGGGCAAAUGCAAGAAGCAGGUUGCACUCCAAAUGCGGCUACUUAUAGAAUUUUAUUGAAUUUGUUUGGGAGGCGUGGCAAGUAUGAUGAUGUUCGUGAACUUUUCCUUCAAAUGAAAGUGAGCAAUACGGAGCCGGAUGUUGCUACUUACAAUAUACUUAUACAGGUUUUCGGAGAAGGUGGGUACUUUAAGGAGGUAGUGAUUUUGUUUCAUGACAUGGUGGAGGAGAAUUUGGAGCCAAAUAUGGAGACAUAUGAGGGGUUGAUAAUUGCUUGUGGAAAGGGCGGGCUUCACGAGGAUGCAAAGAAGAUUCUACUUCAUAUGAAUGACAAGAUGUUGGUGCCAAGUUCAAAGGUUUACACAGGGGUUAUUGAAGCAUAUGGACAGGCUGCAUUGUACGAGGAAGCUCUUGUUGCAUUUUAUACGAUGAACGAGGUUGGGAGCGAGCCAACUAUUGAAACUUUCAACACACUUAUUCACGCAUUUGCAAGAGGGGGGCUUUACAAGGAGUGUGAAGCGAUAUUGAGGAGAAUGGGUGAGUGCGGUAUCACACGGGAUAGGGAGUCGUUUCAUGGUAUAAUCGAAGGAUUUAAACAAGGGGGGCAUUUUGAAGAAGCUAUAAAAGCUUAUGUUGAGAUGGAAAAUGCCGGAUAUGAUCCUGAGGAGGGUACCCUUGAGGCAGUAUUGAGUGUUUACUGCUUUGCAGGUCUUGUUGAUGAAAGUGAAGAGCAGUUCCGGGAAAUUAAGGCAUUGGGUGUACUGCCCAGUGUCAUGUGCUACUGUAUGAUGCUGGGAGUUUAUGCAAAGGGUAACAGGUGGGAUGACGCCUACAAAUUGCUGGAUGAAAUGAUUACAAAGAGGUCAUCCAAUAUUCAUAAUGUGAUUGGGCAGAUGAUCAAGGGAGAUUUUGAUGAUGGCUCUAACUGGCAGAUGGUUGAGUAUGUGUUUGAUAAACUUAACUCUGAGGGCUGUGAUUUGGGAACAAGAUUCUACAACACACUCAUAGAAGCCCUUUGGUGGUUGGGGCAGAAGGAACGGGCUGCCAGAAUUCUCAAUGAAGCAACAAAGCGGGGGCUUUUCCCGGAGUUGUUUCGUAUGAACAAACUUGUGUGGUCUGUUGACGUACACAGGAUGUGGACAGGUGGUGCGUGCACAGCAAUAUCAAUUUGGCUUAACAGAAUGUAUGAAAUGUUCAAGAUGGGGGAGGAUCUCCCUCCAUUGGCAACUGUUGUAGUAGUGCGGGGGCACAUGGAGAAGAGCUCAAUAACCCGGGAUUUCCCCGUGGCAAAGGCUGCCUAUUCUUUUCUGAAUGACGGUGUAUCAUCGUCCUUUUGCUACCCCGGCUGGAACAAGGGGCGAAUAAUGUGUCAACGGCCUCAGCUUAAAAAGAUUUUGUCGGCUGCAGAAGGAUCGCCAGAAGGGUCAGAAAAUGUUAAGUUAAUAACUUCAAGUAACUCACCCUUUCCCCGCCUGGGAACAAGAACACCCAGAAGUGAUGUCAGGAGAGACGAGCACGGAAGUGCUGAUAUUGAAACACGAGUUAGAAUGGCAACAGAGCUUGUGACGAGCACGGUUUAAUAGAACAAAGUCUAUAGGUUACCUGACAAGGCUGAGUGGUAUGGCAUGGAGAUUUGAGAAUCAGAUCAAGAGGAACUGGGAUUUGUAAGAUUGCAUUCAGAUGUAUCGUAAUAUUUCCUCUUGGCAAAUAAUGGAUUUAUGGUGAUUGUUGUUGACUUCCAGCCUGCCAUUAUGCUGAGCUGAACCAAGAUAUAAUGCCAAGUCGAAGCAAUUGCCUACUAGUUUGGUCGAAGCCAAUUUUGCCUUGUGGCUUUACUAACAAGGGAUGGAAACGGAGGUGGAAUCUUGCAGGGCAAGGUUGUUAGUGUUACUCGGGUGGUCUCCUGAUUUUGAUGUCAGGAAGAGAUGCUUUAAUUGUGAACAAAUUAAUGAAAGAAAAGACAUUUAUAUUGUCGUAGUUGCUUUGAUGCCAUAUCAAGUAAAUUAACUCCUGGGUUUCUAGGAGAAAGAAAUUUGGAAACUACGUUUCAAGGAUUCUUCUAGAUGUAUUAAGUACCUAUGCUGGACACUCGAUACUCAGAUAAGGAACUUGGAUGCUCACCAAGAAAGCUUAUGUCGUAAUCUGAUUUACCACGAACUAUGAAUCAAACUCUUAUAUAAUUCGUUACAUAGCCUAAGGCACCUUGUAAACACCCUUUGUCCUUAAAUAUACAAGAAACAUGCUGAGAAAUAGAAAUAUUUUGGCAUCUCUCGUGUCUUUGAGAGGAAAAUUAGGAGAACCUGUGACUUUGAACAUACCCUCUGUCAACACGGCAGCCAAGUCUAGAAUCCUUAAACUAA